AGAUUUAGAUUGAAUGAUAUAAGUUCCAACCAUAGCACAUCACAAAAUAAAUGGAUUGCUUGCGAACUUUCUUGGCUUAUAUGGCAAUCUGACUUUUUUACGCUAUUAUUUAUUUUUAUGGAUCUAAAAGGCAUAUAUCAUAUAUGCUCAACUUCGUCCACCUCGAUUGUUGAGUUUUUUGCAGGGUUUAUCUUUAAGAAGUAUGAGAAUUAUACUGGGAGAAUCAAAUGCAGCUCAUCACUUGUCUAAUCCACCUCGAUUGCUGAGUUAUUUCUAGGCUUUAUCUUUAAGAAGUAUGAGAAUUAUACUGAGAGAAUGAAUUGCAUCUCAUCACUUAUCUUAUCCUCUACCUUAAAAAUCCUGCACACUUCACACUUCCUUUCCUGUAGGAUUUUUUCAGUUCCAUGUAUCCUGUCUUCUAGCUGUAUUUUCUAGCCUUGAUUUUCUUCUCAGUUGGGUCUUACAGUGUUCAGAGAUUUUCUUUCAUGUGAAGUAUUUUCUUCUAGCCCUAUUUUUCUUGUUCGUUGAACCUUAUAGUAAUUAGUAAUUCUCAUUUCUACGAAGUAAUUCUUUUUAGCCUCACUCUCACAAACACCCGCCAUCGCCAAGUAGGAGACCCUCUGUUGAAUUUGAGAUAUUUACCUAGCAUGUAAGGGACACGUAUGUUAAUUGCAAAUGGUACUUAUAUUUGCGAUGAGACGUGACAAAAAAACUGAAAUGAUAUAUAUUAGCUUUUGAACUUUUAUACAUUAAAUGAAGAUAGACCAUAUAAUAAAACGGCAAAAUACCGAACACCGGGUGAGAAACCAAAUAAAAAAGAACGGCAAAAUAUAUCAAGUAAAUAUAGUAGUAACUCUUAAUGAAAAUUAAUUAUUUAGAAAUGCACAAUUUAUGUGUUGUUUUGAAUGUUUUGCAGGAAAAUGUAUGCGAGGCGAGGCCAACAACUCAUGCCAAUUAUGGAGUUUGCGUUUUUGCAACUUAUCAACUGUAAAAUCUUUUUUAGUGCAGCUUCUAUAAAUUGUUU
rnacentral:lncRNA from 1 species